GACGAACGCUGGCGGCGUGCUUAACACAUGCAAGUCGAACGCUGAAGCUCAGCUUGCUGGGUGGAUGAGUGGCGAACGGGUGAGUAACACGUGAGUAACCUGCCCUCUUCUUUGGGAUAACGCCCGGAAACGGGUGCUAAUACUGGAUAUUCACUGAUUCUCGCAUGGGGGUUGGUGGAAAGGUUUUUUCUGGUGGGGGAUGGGCUCGCAGCCUAUCAGCUUGUUGGUGGGGUGAUGGCCUACCAAGGCUUUGACGGGUAGCCGGCCUGAGAGGGUGACCGGUCACAUUGGGACUGAGAUACGGCCCAGACUCCUACGGGAGGCAGCAGUGGGGAAUAUUGCACAAUGGGCGAAAGCCGGAUGCAGCGACGCCGCGUGAGGGAUGGAGGCCUUCGGGUUGUAAACCUCUUUCGCUCAUGGUCAAGCCGCAGCUUUGGGUUGUGGUGAGGGUAGUGGGUAAAGAAGCGCCGGCUAACUACGUG
rnacentral:rRNA from 1 species